AUGGGAGAGCAGAGGGAGGGACUGAGAGGGAGGAGCGAAGAUAUAGAAUUUAGUAAUGAUAAUAUUUGCCCUUCCUCCCUCACAGAAUUAAAUGCAAUGACUAAUGUGCAAUUUACCCUGCAAAUAUACUUUUCUGUUGCUAGUAUUCUCCUUUCCUGUUCGGAAGCAACCUAUCCCAUGGACAUUCCUUUCUGCCCCACAGGUUCUACUUGGUGGCGAGGAAGUGUUCCUAGCACGUGGAGUCUUGCAUCUGGCAGAUUAAAACUUUUCAGUGAAGACCAUGGAGAAUUUAGCUGAUUCAUUGUCCUUGAUGAGACACCAUGGAAAACAAUGACCCCUGGCAGAAGGGGCCAGGGACUCCACGCGCAGCUGUGCCAGCUAUAGUCUGUAGAAAGACUCCCAGCAAGGAUGUGAGAGGGGUUGAAACUAGCCAAGAUCUGUUUCUAAGCCAUGAACUCUGGCAAAAGGCCAUGUCAAAGGUGCCCUAAGGUACAGAGGUGGCCCGGUGAGAAGUCCUCAGGUUCUUAAGACUGACAAAGUAAUGAGAGAGACGUGGCACCAAGCACUGAAUCAGAAGAGAGUACGUUGUUUUUGUCCACUUUGAUGGCCUUACCCUCUGAAUCAGUGAUUUCGUCCUUUCCACUCUCAUACUCUCCUAAAGCUUCCUUCAGCUCACUCAAUUCUCAGAGUGACCAGGAUUGUCUCCUAGUAAUAGCAGGAGAAACUUGUGAGACGACUGCUAAGACCAAAACCACCAGCAAAAGGAAAAGAGCCAUCUUGUUUCCUUGAGGAUGAAGAAAAAUAGAAGGCAGAUGAAUUCGCUGCUAGCCUGCCUGCCUGGGUCCUGUGAUGGCAGCAUGAGGCUUCCUUUUCCUGACUGUGAAUAGCCUGUCCUGAUACUGGAGGUAAUUCAUGUGCACAG
rnacentral:lncRNA from 1 species